rnacentral:rRNA from 1 species
UACGGAGGGUGCGAGCGUUGUUCGGAAUCACUGGGCGUAAAGCGCGUGUAGGCGGCCCAUUAAGUCUGAUGUGAAAGCCCGGGGCUCACCCCCCGGAAGUGCAUUGGAAACUGAUGGACUCGAGUCCCGGAGAGGAGAGUGGAAUUCCUGGUGUAGCGGUGAAAUGCGCAGAUAUCGGGAAGAACACCCGUGGCGAAGGCGGCCU